UACGGAGGAUCCAAGCGUUAUCCGGAUUCAUUGGGUUUUAAAGGGUGCGUAGGCGGAAUGAUAAGUCAGCGGUGAAAUCCCUCGGCUUAACCGAGGAACUGCCGUUGAUACUGUCAAUCUUGAGUACAUUUGAUGUGGGCGGAAUGUGUCAUGUAGCGGUGAAAUGCUUAGAUAUGACACAGAACACCGAUUGCGAAGGCAGCUCACAAAACUGUAACUGACGCUGAGGCACGAAAGCGUGGGUAUCAAACAGG
rnacentral:rRNA from 1 species